UACAGAGGUCUCAAGCGUUGUUCGGAUUCAUUGGGCGUAAAGGGUGCGUAGGCGGCGCGGUAAGUCGGGUGUGAAAUCUUGGAGCUUAACUCCGAAACUGCAUUCGAUACUGCCGUGCUUGAGGACUGGAGAGGAGACUGGAAUUUACGGUAGUAGCGGUGAAAUGCGUAGAUAUCGUAAGGAAGACCAGUGGCGAAGGCGGGUCUCUGGACAGUUCCUGACGCUGAGGCACGAAGGCCAGGGGAGCAAACGGG
rnacentral:rRNA from 1 species